rnacentral:rRNA from 1 species
UUUUUAAUGAGAGUUUGAUCCUGGCUCAGGACGAACGCUGGCGGCGUGCCUAAUACAUGCAAGUAGAACGCUGAAGAGAGGAGCUUGCUCUUCUUGGAUGAGUUGCGAACGGGUGAGUAACGCGUAGGUAACCUGCCUUGUAGCGGGGGAUAACUAUUGGAAACGAUAGCUAAUACCGCAUAACAAUGGAUGACACAUGUCAUUUAUUUGAAAGGGGCAAUUGCUCCACUACAAGAUGGACCUGCGUUGUAUUAGCUAGUAGGUGAGGUAACGGCUCACCUAGGCGACGAUACAUAGCCGACCUGAGAGGGUGAUCGGCCACACUGGGACUGAGACACGGCCCAGACUCCUACGGGAGGCAGCAGUAGGGAAUCUUCGGCAAUGGGGGCAACCCUGACCGAGCAACGCCGCGUGAGUGAAGAAGGUUUUCGGAUCGUAAAGCUCUGUUGUAAGUCAAGAACGAGUGUGAGAGUGGAAAGUUCACACUGUGACGGUAGCUUACCAGAAAGGGACGGCUAACUACGUGCCAGCAGCCGCGGUAAUACGUAGGUCCCGAGCGUUGUCCGGAUUUAUUGGGCGUAAAGCGAGCGCAGGCGGUUUGAUAAGUCUGAAGUUAAAGGCUGUGGCUCAACCAUAGUUCGCUUUGGAAACUGUCAAACUUGAGUGCAGAAGGGGAGAGUGGAAUUCCAUGUGUAGCGGUGAAAUGCGUAGAUAUAUGGAGGAACACCGGUGGCGAAAGCGGCUCUCUGGUCUGUAACUGACGCUGAGGCUCGAAAGCGUGGGGAGCGAACAGGAUUAGAUACCCUGGUAGUCCACGCCGUAAACGAUGAGUGCUAGGUGUUGGAUCCUUUCCGGGAUUCAGUGCCGCAGCUAACGCAUUAAGCACUCCGCCUGGGGAGUACGACCGCAAGGUUGAAACUCAAAGGAAUUGACGGGGGCCCGCACAAGCGGUGGAGCAUGUGGUUUAAUUCGAAGCAACGCGAAGAACCUUACCAGGUCUUGACAUCCCGAUGCUAUUUCUAGAGAUAGAAAGUUACUUCGGUACAUCGGUGACAGGUGGUGCAUGGUUGUCGUCAGCUCGUGUCGUGAGAUGUUGGGUUAAGUCCCGCAACGAGCGCAACCCCUAUUGUUAGUUGCCAUCAUUCAGUUGGGCACUCUAGCGAGACUGCCGGUAAUAAACCGGAGGAAGGUGGGGAUGACGUCAAAUCAUCAUGCCCCUUAUGACCUGGGCUACACACGUGCUACAAUGGUUGGUACAACGAGUUGCGAGUCGGUGACGGCAAGCUAAUCUCUUAAAGCCAAUCUCAGUUCGGAUUGUAGGCUGCAACUCGCCUACAUGAAGUCGGAAUCGCUAGUAAUCGCGGAUCAGCACGCCGCGGUGAAUACGUUCCCGGGCCUUGUACACACCGCCCGUCACACCACGAGAGUUUGUAACACCCGAAGUCGGUGAGGUAACCUUUUGGAGCCAGCCGCCUAAGGUGGGAUAGAUGAUUGGGGUGAAGUCGUAACAAGGUAGCCGUAUCGGAAGGUGCGGCUGGAUCACCUCCUUUCU